UCAAGUGAAAAAGAGAGAGAGCGACGUGAACUAAUUGUGGAGAAGAGGGGGUGUUAUUUCGAGAUAACUCUGGGUUAAGGUCAGCGGGGUUGUUUCUAAAUGACAGUCAGCCUUGCGCUUGAUUUAGGCGCUGUUGAAGCGGCUCAGCAUUAUGCUUCUUUUAUGCGGAUAGUGACAUUGCUGGGACACUUUGACACCGAUGUCCUAAGAACGGAAUAAUCAAACUGAACCUGCUUCGCGUUGUUUUAUGUGACCAAGUAGUUUGUUUCUGGAGAAAACGAGCCAAAUGAUGUCAGGAAAGCAGUACAAUGGUCAAGAAGUCAGCUGCUGCAUCAAAUAUUUCAUAUUUGGAUUUAACAUAAUAUUUUGGUUGCUUGGGGUGGCUUUCCUUGGGAUCGGAUUAUGGGCAUGGAGUGAGAAGGGAGUUCUGUCUAACAUCUCGUCCAUCACGGAUCUGGGUGGAUUUGAUCCAGUGUGGUUGUUCAUGGUAGUUGGAGGGGUGAUGUUCAUCCUGGGUUUCACCGGCUGUAUCGGGGCCUUGAGGGAAAACACCUUACUGCUCAAAUUUUUUUCGGUGUUUCUGGGGAUAAUCUUCUUCCUGGAGCUGACUGCUGGUAUCCUGGCCUUUGUCUUUAAAGACUGGAUCAAAGAUCAGCUCAACUUUUUCAUCAACAACAACAUACGAGCCUACAGAGAUGACAUUGACUUGCAGAACCUCAUCGACUUCACUCAGGAAUAUUGGGAAUGCUGUGGGGCGUUUGGAGCAGAUGACUGGAACCUCAACGUCUACUUCAACUGCACAGACAGCAACCCCAGCCGAGAAAAAUGUGGCGUGCCCUUCUCCUGUUGCACCAAAGACCCAGCGGAGGAUGUUAUCAACACACAGUGUGGAUAUGAUGUUCGGGCAAAAUUGGUCACAGAGCAGGCGGCAUACAUUCAUGUCAAAGGCUGUGUGCCGCAGUUUGAGAAAUGGCUAAAGGAAAACCUGACGGUAGUGGCUGGGAUCUUCAUCGGCGUCGCUCUGCUGCAGAUAUUUGGAAUAUGCCUUGCACAGAAUUUAAUCAGCGAUAUUGAAGCUGUGAGAGCCAGCUGGGUGCCGCCCCCCUCUUACGUCACCCGCCGCCCCCCGUCCCACUCCAGCAAGAAAGCCUCGGUGUACUGCUGAGGGAGGUUGGCCUGUUUGUUCACAUGAAGUGGCAGCUAGUCGUUCAGACACUCACAGGCCUAUGCCAGCACGAUGAAGGUAGAGAAUGAUGAACACAAGAUGCCAAGUGCACUGGAUCGUGUGUGUGUGCACGUAACCUUUUUCCAUCUGUAAAUAGUGCUAUUUUUUCAAAACACUUGUUUUGUGUAAUGUGAAGAAACGUCUGUGUCAAGUGUCACAGAGUUGCGUUAAACAACAACAAAAAAAUCCACCACUGCAAAAGCAUUGCAAAAAGCAUAAUUCAAAACUCAUUCUGUCACUUUGACAAAAAGUAAACUAACA